AUUGAACGCUGGCGGCAGGCCUAACACAUGCAAGUCGAGCGGAUGACGGGAGCUUGCUCCUCGAUUCAGCGGCGGACGGGUGAGUAAUGCCUAGGAAUCUGCCUGGUAGUGGGGGACAACGUUUCGAAAGGAACGCUAGUACCGCAUACGUCCUACGGGAGAAAGCAGGGGACCUUCGGGCCUUGCGCUAUCAGAUGAGCCUAGGUCGGAUUAGCUAGUUGGUGGGGUAAUGGCUCACCAAGGCGACGAUCCGUAACUGGUCUGAGAGGAUGAUCAGUCACACUGGAACUGAGACACGGUCCAGACUCCUACGGGAGGCAGCAGUGGGGAAUAUUGGACAAUGGGCGAAAGCCUGAUCCAGCCAUGCCGCGUGUGUGAAGAAGGUCUUCGGAUUGUAAAGCACUUUAAGUUGGGAGGAAGGGCAGUAAGUUAAUACCUUGCUGUUUUGACGUUACCGACAGAAUUAGCACCGGCUAACUCUGUGCCAGCCGCCGCGGUAA
rnacentral:rRNA from 1 species